AGCAAACCUCAGAAAGCCAAUCUCAGUUCGGAUUGUAGGCUGCAACUCGCCUACAUGAAGUUGGAAUCGCUAGUAAUCGCGAAUCAGAAUGUCGCGGUGAAUACGUUCCCGGGUCUUGUACACACCGCCCGUCACACCACGAGAGUUUACAACACCCGAAGUCAGUGGCCUAACCGCAAGGGAGGGGAGCUGCCUAAGGUGGGGGUAGAUGAUUGGGGUGAAGUCGUAACAAGGUAGC
rnacentral:rRNA from 1 species